rnacentral:rRNA from 1 species
GACGAACGCUGGCGGCGUGCUUAACACAUGCAAGUCGAACGAAAAGAGGGAAAGAGCUUGCUCUUUCCGGAAUUGAGUGGCAAACGGGUGAGUAACACGUAAACAACCUGCCUUCAGGAUGGGGACAACAGACGGAAACGACUGCUAAUACCGAAUAAGUUCCAAGGGCCGCAUGGCCCAUGGAAGAAAAGGUGGCCUCUACCUGUAAGCUAUCGCCUGAAGAGGGGUUUGCGUCUGAUUAGCUGGUUGGAGGGGUAACGGCCCACCAAGGCGACGAUCAGGAGCCGGGCUGAGAGGAUGAACGGCCACACUGGGACUGAGACACGGGCCAGACUCCCACGGGAGGCAGCAGUGGGGAAUCUUCCGCAAUGGGCGAAAGCCUGACGGAGCAACGCCGCGUGAGGGAUGACGGCCUUCGGGUUGUAAAACUCUGUGAUCCGGGACGAAAAGGCAGAGUGCGAAGAACAAACUGCAUUGACGGUACCGGAAAAGCAAGCCACGGCUAACUACGUG